GACGAACGCUGGCGGCGUGCUUAACACAUGCAAGUCGAACGGAAAGGCCCUGCUUUUGUGGGGUGCUCGAGUGGCGAACGGGUGAGUAACACGUGAGUAACCUGCCCUUGACUUUGGGAUAACUUCAGGAAACUGGGGCUAAUACCGGAUAGGAGCUCCUGCUGCAUGGUGGGGGUUGGAAAGUUUCGGCGGUUGGGGAUGGACUCGCGGCUUAUCAGCUUGUUGGUGGGGUAAUGGCUUACCAAGGCUUUGACGGGUAGCCGGCCUGAGAGGGUGACCGGCCACAAUGGGACUGAGAUACGGCCCAGACUCCUACGGGAGGCAGCAGUGGGGAAUAUUGCACCAUGGGCGGAAGCCUGAUGCAGCAACGCCGCGUGCGGGAUGACGGCCUUCGGGUUGGAAACCGCUUUCGCCUGUGACGAAGCGUGAGUGACGGUAAUUGGUAAAGAAGCACCGGCUAACUACGUG
rnacentral:rRNA from 1 species